rnacentral:tRNA from 1 species
CAAAGAAUAGUUUAAAUCAGAAUCUUAGCUUUGGGAGUUAAGGGUAGGAGUUAAAAUCUCUUUUCUUUGA